UCGAGGAUCUUCGUCAAUGGGCGAAAGCCUGAACGAGCGACGCCGCGUGCGCGAUGAAGGCCUUCGGGUUGUAAAGCGCGAAAGUGGGGACGAAAGCCGAAAGGUUUGACCGAUCCACAGUAAGCUCGGGCUAAGUUCGUGCCAGCAGCCGCGGUAAGACGAACCGAGCGAACGUUAUUCGGAAUCACUGGGCUUAAAGGGCGCGUAGGCGGGCAUUCAAGUCUGUGUUGAAAUCCGGCAGCUCAACUGUCGAACUGGCAUGGAUACUGGGUGUCUCGAGGGAGGUAGGGGCGUGCGGAACUAUUGGUGGAGCGGUGAAAUGCGUUGAUAUCAAUAGGAACUCCGGUGGCGAAGGCGGCACGCUGGACCUCUUCUGACGCUGAGGCGCGAAAGCCAGGGGGAGCAAACGGGAUUUAGAUACCCACG
rnacentral:rRNA from 1 species